rnacentral:lncRNA from 1 species
AAUGCAUGAUAACCCGCGCAUACAUUGUCCAUGAAGUGUUGCUGUAUGUUUGACUCUUGUUUGUUUUUGUUUUGUCUUCUGAAAGCAACAAGGAUUCGUGAAAAAAUUUGGACCGUUGAACUGACUGGACCAGUACUCAAAUCCGGGUCUUCCAUUUUCCAGGUGACUGCUCUAACCUUUGAGCUAUCCAAUCCAGAGUCCUCCGGUCAACUUUCUCACAAAUACCUAUUUUAUUUGGGUUGCUUGAUCUCACAUUAUUUAUUUAAUUUUUUUUUCUUUUUCAUAAAUAAUAUAAGCAGUUGCCAAUUUGUACAUAUUCGUUUCAAAUAUAAUAUAAGUGACAUUUUAUGCGUUAAAUAUAUAAA